rnacentral:rRNA from 1 species
GACGAACGCUGGCGGCGUGCUUAACACAUGCAAGUCGAACGGUGAAGCCUUUCGGGGUGGAUCAGUGGCGAACGGGUGAGUAACACGUGGGCAACCUGCCCCUGACUUCGGGAUAAGCCCGGGAAACCGGGUCUAAUACCGGAUAUGAUCACGUCCCGCAUGGGGUGUGGUGGAAAGUUUUUCGGUCAGGGAUGGGCUCGCGGCCUAUCGGCUUGUUGGUGGGGUGAUGGCCUACCAAGGCGACGACGGGUAGCCGGCCUGAGAGGGCGACCGGCCACACUGGGACUGAGACACGGCCCAGACUCCUACGGGAGGCAGCAGUGGGGAAUAUUGCGCAAUGGGCGAAAGCCUGACGCAGCGACGCCGCGUGAGGGAUGAAGGCCUUCGGUUGU